CAAAGGGUAGUUAAAUUUAGAAUUUCGGCUUUGGGAGCCGAGGGUGAGAGUUAAAAUCUCUUCUCUUUGA
rnacentral:tRNA from 1 species